UUUAAGUAUGAACUAAACGAAAGUUGUCAUUUACUUAAAAUUCAAUGCAGUUGCAAAACCUAUCCAUUUUUAGAGAUCAAUGAUCUGUACUAAAACAAAACGCUUUUCAAGAAAAUGAGAGUGGAAUAUCAACAACCACAUUAAUGAAGGUAUUCCGAUGCAGUGUCACACCGGAGUGAAGCCGUACGAGUGCGGUAUCUGCGGCAAGGCGUUCGCGCAGUCCAACAGCUGCAAGCUGCACGUGCGCACCGUGCACCUCAAGCAGCCCACGCCCUACCUCAGCCGCGCGCGCCUCGACCGCCGCGCCCGCCUCGCGCACCAGCCCGGGAACCAACCUGCGAGCCAACCCGCGAACCAACCAUCGCUAUACUGACCGCACGUGACAAUAACUAGAUCAUUUACCCUAUUUUGAGUGCUCAGAUGGAUUUUUUUAUCCGAAGAUAUGUUCAUUAGGAUGAGAAUACACAUGCCAGUGAAUGGAUAGUAAGGGAGGUUUCACAAGAGGAUUUAAAAGACCAAAUAAUUACUAAACACCGCAAUUGUGCAGUGACAAUUAAUUGUAAGUUUGUGGUUUAGUCAACAUUUUAGCUCGGUAUGUCUAUUUAUGUAAGAUGUAAUUAAACCUUAUUUUUUACUAC